rnacentral:rRNA from 1 species
UACGAAGGGUGCAAGCGUUACUCGGAAUUACUGGGCGUAAAGCGUGCGUAGGUGGUUUGUUAAGUCUGAUGUGAAAGCCCUGGGCUCAACCUGGGAACUGCAUUGGAAACUGGCUUACUAGAGUGCGGUAGAGGGGUGUGGAAUUCCCGGUGUAGCAGUGAAAUGCGUAGAUAUCGGGAGGAACAUCUGUGGCGAAGGCGACACCCUGGACCAGCACUGACACUGAGGCACGAAAGCGUGGGGAGCAAACGGG